ACGGCCAAAUAGAGAGGAGAAGAAGAACUUUGUGUCUGGUCUUAUGGAAGGGAAAGCUAUUCUUCUUUGCCUUAUGGUGAUUGUGCUGCUCGGAAAUUCCAUUCAUGCUAGUACGAAAUUGAUCUCCCUUUUCCUAUAUGUUUCAUUUCUCAUGUCAACUAGAGUAGAAUAAUAUUCUCAGCCAAAAAACACGAACUUUCUUGGAUUUUUCACAAUAUGGACUUCUUCUAAUGAUGUGUGUUCUUCUCUACAGAGGACUGUUUUAUUGGAAUUGCAUUUGGAGCCACUUUAUGCACGAAAUUAAAAUGUCGUUUCUCCUGCAUGAAAAAAUGGGGACCCGAAGUCACCAAAUCGUACUGUAUGGAAGUCAUCCCAAACUUUCAGCAUUGUUACUGUGUUGUUUGUGACACCUAGAGUUGCACUAGGUCAUGAUGUUCAAUGAUGUAUCUUAUCUUUUUUGUUGGAUAUACAUCAAAGUUGGGUGAUUGCGUGCUUGCAAACAAUAAAGAAAAGAGAAAUAAAAAGACAGAUCCGGCCGUGCUGGGCAUUCUCGCAACUCUACCAGAACCGAUCUGGAUUUCCGAUGAUCAGUCUCCAUGAAACAGAAUGUCGCAACAUAUUUAAUCAAGGUCAUCGCUAAUAACACAUGAAAACACCAUAGCGCUAUACACCAACGCAAUUGCUUAACUAGGC
rnacentral:lncRNA from 1 species